CCUACGGGGGGCAGCAGUGAGGAAUAUUGGUCAAUGGGCUUACGCCUGAACCAGCCAAGUCGCGUGAGGGAAGACUGCCCUAUGGGUUGUAAACCUCUUUUGUCAGGGAGCAACGCCGGCUACGUGUAGCCGGACUGAGAGUACCUGCAGAAAAAGCAUCGGCUAACUCCGUGCCAGCAGCCGCGGUAAUACGGAGGAUGCGGGCGUUAUCCGGAUUGAUUGGGUUUAAAGGGUGCGUAGGCGGAAUGCCAAGUCAGCGGGAAAAUCGCGGGGCUCAACCUCGCUCCGCCGUUGAAACUGGCGUUCUUGAGUGGGCGAGAGGUAUGCGGAAUGCGUGGUGUAGCGGUGAAAUGCAUAGAUAUCACGAAGAACUCCGAUUGCGAAGGCAGCAUACCGGCGCCCAACUGACGCUGAAGCACGAAAGCGUGGGUAUCGAACAGGAUUAGAUACCCGAGUAGUC
rnacentral:rRNA from 1 species